rnacentral:rRNA from 1 species
AACAGGGAUUGCCUCAUUAACGGCGAGUGAAGCGGCAAGAGCUCAAAUUUGAAAGCUGGCUCCUUCGGGGUCCGCAUUGUAAUUUGCAGAGGAUGUUUCGGGAGCAGCCCCCAUCUAAGUGUCCUGGAACGGACCGUCAUAGAGGGUGAGAAUCCCGUUUGUGCUAAGGACGCCCGUGUGCAUUGUGGUACGCUUUCAAAGAGUCGAGUUGUUUGGGAAUGCAGCUCAAAAUGGGAGGUAAAUUCCUUCUAAAGCUAAAUACUGGCGAGAGACCGAUAGCGAACAAGUACCGUGAGGGAAAGAUGAAAAGAACUUUGAAAAG